GACGAACGCUGGCGGCGUGCUUAACACAUGCAAGUCGAACGGAAAGGCCCUGCUUUUGUGGGGUGCUCGAGUGGCGAACGGGUGAGUAACACGUGAGUAACCUGCCCUGGACUUUGGGAUAACUUCAGGAAACUGGGGCUAAUACCGGAUAGGAGCUCCUGCUGCAUGGUGGGGGUUGGAAAGUUUCGGCGGUUGGGGAUGGACUCGCGGCUUAUCAGCUUGUUGGUGGGGUAGUGGCUUACCAAGGCUUUGACGGGUAGCCGGCCUGAGAGGGUGACCGGCCACAAUGGGACUGAGAUACGGCCCAGACUCCUACGGGAGGCAGCAGUGGGGAAUAUUGCACAAUGGGCGGAAGCCUGAUGCAGCAGCGCCGCGUGCGGGAUGACGGCCUUCGGGUUGUAAACCGCUUUCGCCUGUGACGAAGCGUGAGUGACGGUAAUGGGUAAAGAAGCACCGGCUAACUACGUG
rnacentral:rRNA from 1 species